AGCCAAUAUAAUGUCAUAUUUCUUCUUCUCUACGUAUCAGCCUCUCUCUCAUUCCAAAAGCUCUCUGGGUUUUUUUUUUCUUUUUAUGGUUUCAAGCUUCAAGGCUUAAUUUCUCUCUCAUCUCUUAUCGGAUUAAGGUGCCGUUUGAGGCAAAACGAAGCUCACGUCAAGCUCUACGCAUCCAUACCAGAAAUUCCAGCUUUUAGCCUCUCCUUGGAGUUCGAAAUUCAAGACCCAUUUUAAGGGUUUUGUGCAAAUUUGAGGUCUUGGAAAUGAACUAGUGGACGACAAUCCACCUCAAGCUUGAAAGUUGUUAGAAGGUUGUUUACUAUUUUGUAUUUUGACCGUUCUAUGUAUAUUCGUAGUUGUGGAAAUGUAAUUAAGUUAGUAUUCAUGGCCUUGUAACUUAAGAACGAACUUAUCUUUUGUUUGAUGUAAAUGAAACUAGUGGAAUUAUGGUAUAUGUUUCCAUGCAAUUGUAUCAUGUAACGUUGUAAGACAGGGACUUUAAAUAUUAAUCUUGUAUUUUGGGACUGUAA